UAACUUAGAAAUCAUUUUGAUGGUGAAUUGUAAAUUCACAUUAGAUAUUAG
rnacentral:tRNA from 1 species